AUUGAACGCUGGCGGCAGGCCUAACACAUGCAAGUCGAGCGGAUGAAGGGAGCUUGCUCCUGGAUUCAGCGGCGGACGGGUGAGUAAUGCCUAGGAAUCUGCCUGGUAGUGGGGGAUAACGUCCGGAAACGGGCGCUAAUACCGCAUACGUCCUGAGGGAGAAAGUGGGGGAUCUUCGGACCUCACGCUAUCAGAUGAGCCUAGGUCGGAUUAGCUAGUUGGUGGGGUAAAGGCCUACCAAGGCGACGAUCCGUAACUGGUCUGAGAGGAUGAUCAGUCACACCGGAACUGAGACACCGUCCAGACUCCUACGGGAGGCAGCAGUGGGGAAUAUUGGACAAUGGGCGAAAGCCUGAUCCAGCCAUGCCGCGUGUGUGAAGAAGGUCUUCGGAUUGUAAAGCACUUUAAGUCGGGAGGAAGGGCAGUAAGUUAAUACCUUGCUGUUUUGACGUUACCAACAGAAUAAGCACCGGCUAACUUCGUG
rnacentral:rRNA from 1 species